GUCGAGAAGCUUCGGCAAUGGGCGAAAGCCUGACCGAGCGACGCCGCGUGAGCGAUGAAGGCCCUAGUGGUCGUAAAGCUCUGUCAGAUUGGGAACAAAUCCCGGGGGCGAACAACCCCCGGUGCUGAGGGUACCGUCAGAGGAAGCACCGGCUAACUCCGUGCCAGCAGCCGCGGUAAUACGGAGGGUGCGAGCGUUGUUCGGAUUCACUGGGUAUAAAGAGUUCGUAGGCGGCCCCGUAAGUCAGAGGUGAAAGCUGUCGGCUCAACCGACAAAUUGCCUUUGAAACUGCAGGGCUUGAGUCCGGGAGAGGAAGGUGGAAUUCCUGGUGUAGCGGUGAAAUGCGUAAAUAUCAGGAGGAACACCGGUGGCGAAGGCGGCCUUCUGGCCCGGCACUGACGCUGAGGAACGAAAGCCAGGGGAGCGAACGGGAUUAGAAACCCCAGUAGUCC
rnacentral:rRNA from 1 species